GUGCAGGGGUGUGGCCGCGGGGUCGUGUCCGGGCGGUGGCGUGCCUGAGGCGGUGGCCCCGCCCCCCAGGAGAUCAGCAAGCGGGUGACGGAGGAACAGGCGCGAAAGGCCUUCGACCGGGCGACGAAACUGGAGCAGGAGUUCACCGAGUGCUUCUCCGCCAUGGUGGAGGGCGACAGCUUCGAGGAGAUCUACCACAAGGUGAAGCGCGUCAUCGAGGAGCUCUCGGGGCCCUACAUCUGGGUGCCGGCCCGCGAGCGGCUCUAGGGGCGGGGGGGCCCCCCCCCCGGACCCCCCCACAGCCCCCCACCCCGGCACCCCCCUCCCCCCCCCCCGGGGGCGGCUGCAUGCGCAGGGCACGGCGGGGGAGGGGGCCACGGCUGCGACACCCCGAAAGCGAUGGGGCCCCCCCUUCCCCCGCCCCCCGAAGUUUGGGGGAAGGGUGGGGGGGUUGUGGACACCCCCACCCCCACCCUGUGGCGUUCUGGGGGGGGUCCCUGACAUCGGGGGGGGGGGAUCUGAGCCCCGCCCCUCCCCCCCCCCAACUUUGGACUUGAGUUUUUGUACAUAUAAUCUCUAUAUUUGUACGCCCGCGGGGGGGGUGGGUGGGGGGCCCCCCCAAACCCGGCCCCUCACCCCGGGGGGGGGUGAGGGGGUACCCGGACGCCUGGGUCCCCUCCGGGGGGGUCCCCUGGGCCCACCCCCUCCCCCCCGGCGCGGGGGUGGGGGAGGGGAGAUGAGAGUAUUUUGCAUAGAAAUAUUAUUGCGGGAAUAAACCGAGUCGAGACGC